UACAGGACUCGCAAGACUCCCGUAAACCACUGUGAACUUACCUACAACCCGUUGCCUCGGCGGGUGCUCCGGGCGCGUCUUCGGGCGCUCCGGGGCGCUCCAGCCCGCCGGCGGCCCCUAAACUCUGUCUCUGUAACGUUGGCAUCUCCGAGCAGACUAUAAACGAGUCAAAACUUUCAACAACGGAUCUCUUGGUUCUGGCAUCGAUGAAGAACGCAGCGAAAUGCGAUAAGUAAUGUGAAUUGCAGAAUUCAGUGAAUCAUCGAAUCUUUGAACGCACAUUGCGCCCGCCAGCACUCUGGCGGGCAUGCCUGUCCGAGCGUCAUUUCAACCCUCAGGCCCCGCCUGGCGUUGGAGCCCUGCGCAGCGCAGGCUCCCAAAGACAGCGGCGGGCGCGCCCCGGAACCGAGCGCAGUAAUGCUUUCUCGUUCUGGUCCGGCGCGCGCUCCGGCCGUAAAACCCCCAACUUUCUAAGUGGUUGACCUCGGAUCAGGUAGGAAUACCCGCUGAACUUAAGCAUAUCAAUAAGCGGAGGAAAAGAAACCAACAGGGAUUGCCUCAGUAACGGCGAGUGAAGCGGCAACAGCUCAAAUUUGAAAUCUGGCCCCCCGGCCCGAGUUGUAAUUUGCAGAGGAUGCUUCUGGCGCGGUGCCUUCCAAGUCCCCUGGAACGGGGCGCCAUAGAGGGUGAGAGCCCCGUCUGGUUGGCCGCCAAGCCUGUGUGAAGCUCCUUCGACGAGUCGAGUA
rnacentral:rRNA from 1 species